rnacentral:rRNA from 1 species
AGAGUUUGAUCCUGGCUCAGGAUGAACGCUGGCGGCGUGCCUAACACAUGCAAGUCGAGCGGAAGAAUAGUUGCUUGCAACUAAACUUUAGCGGCGGACGGGUGAGUAACACGUGGGUAACCUGCCCUAAACAAGGGAAUAGCAAUGAGAAAUCAUUGGUAAUACCGUAUAAGCUUACAAUAUCGCAUGAUAAAGUAAGA